rnacentral:rRNA from 1 species
GUGACCGCUAGCGGCAUUCUUAACACAUGCAAGUCGAGGGGCAGCGCGAGUAGCAAUACUUGGCGGCGACCGGCGCAAGGGUGCGUAACGCGUGAGCAACAUGCCCGUAUCAGGGGGAUAAUCCAGGGAAACUUGGUCUAAUACCCCAUAGUAAUUUUGUAAGGCAUCCUAUGGAAUUUAAAGCUUUGGUGGAUACGGAUUGGCUCGCGUGACAUUAGCCGGAUGGUAAGGUAACGGCUUACCAUGGCUAUGAUGUCUAGGGGUUCUGAGAGGAAGGUCCCCCACACUGGAACUGAGACACGGUCCAGACUCCUACGGGAGGCAGCAGUGAGGAAUAUUGGACAAUGGAUGGAAAUCUGAUCCAGCCAUGCCGCGUGCAGGAAGACGGUCCUAUGGAUUGUAAACUGCCUUUGUAUGGGAGCAAUAAGGCCUUCGUGAAGGCUGAUGAGAGUACCAUACGAAUAAGCACCGGCUAACUCCGUGCCAGCAGCCGCGGUAAUACGGAGGGUGCAAGCGUUAUCCGGAUUUAUUGGGUUUAAAGGGUGCGUAGGCGGUUAUUUAAGUCAGUGGUGAAAGUUUCCGCCUCAACCGGAAAAUUGCCAUUGAUACUGGAUAGCUGGCAUAUGGCUGCUGU